rnacentral:rRNA from 1 species
CACCGCGGUUAUACGAGAGACCCAAGUUGUUAGACACCGGCGUAAAGAGUGGUUAAGAUAAACUAAAAACUAAAGCCGAACGCCCCCAGAGCUGUUAUACGCAUCCGGAGGUAAGAAGCUCAACCACGAAAGUGGCUUUAUACCAUCUGAACCCACGAAAGCUAUGACA